rnacentral:rRNA from 1 species
GCUAACACCGGGACAGGAGCGUCGGUAAGACGGGGUGUGACAGCGUUACCCGGAUUUAUUGGGUUUAAAUGUGCCGUAGGCGUGGUUGUAAGUCAGUGGUGAAAUCCGGCAGCUCAACUGUCGAACGGCCAUUGAUACUGCAAGUCUUGAGUAAAGUAGAAGUGGCUGGAAUAAGUAGUGUAGCGGUGAAAUGCAUAGAUAUUACUUAGAACACCAAUUGCGAAGGCAGGUCACUAUGUUUUAACUGACGCUGAUGGACGAAAGCGUGGGUAGCGAACAGGAUUAGAUACCCGAGUAGUC